AUACGGAGGGGGCUAGCGUUGUUCGGAAUUACUGGGCGUAAAGGGCGCGUAGGCGGCUUGUCAAGUUGGAGGUGAAAGCCCGGGGCUCAACCCCGGAACUGCCUUCAAGACUGGCAGGCUAGAGUUCGGGAGAGGAGAGUGGAAUUCCCAGUGUAGAGGUGAAAUUCGUAGAUAUUGGGAGGAACACCGGUUGCGAAGGCGGCUCUCUGGUCCGAUACUGACGCUGAGGCGCGAAAGCGUGGGGAGCAAACAGGAUUAGAAACCCCGUAGUCC
rnacentral:rRNA from 1 species